rnacentral:lncRNA from 10 species
GAUCUACCUUCUUUGAAUUGUUUCUAGCUGCACAGAGGAGAAAAAAGAAAGAAUGAAGAGAAAAGACCCAAACAUCCUUGGCUGCCUCAAAGCAGAGGUGACCCAUUGCUUUACUUCUGCUCCUAAUACAUUGAUGUUAAAUAACUACCUACCUGUACCCAGCUAGACACGUUGUAGGUUUCUGUGAAAUACAGGAAAAACAUGUGGAUAAUUGGUUAGCACUAGCUAUCUCUGCCA